rnacentral:pre_miRNA from 1 species
GGGAUCACCCUUAUGAUGCAGGACUUACUUCAGUGGGGCUGUGGUACUCACUGAGUCUGCCCCUUGAGUGUGUCGCU